rnacentral:rRNA from 1 species
GGCAAGUCUGGUGCCAGCAGCGAGGGAAGUCCAGCUCCAAUAGCGUAUAUAAAGUUGUUGCAGUUAAAAAGCUCGUAGUUGAACUUCGGGAUCAAUGGAUCGGUCAUGCCGUUGGUAUGUACUGGUCAUAUUGGUUCUCACCUUCUAAGGAACCAUGAUGUCAUUCAUUUGAUGUUGUGGGGAAUUAGGACUGUUACCUUGAAAAAAUUAGAGUGUUUAAAGCAGGC